rnacentral:rRNA from 1 species
CGGGACGGGUGAGUAACGCGUGGGUAACCUGCCUCACACUGGGGGACAACAGUUAGAAAUGACUGCUAAUGCCGCAUAAGCGCACAGGACCGCAUGGUCUAGUGUGAAAAACUCCGGUGGUGUGAGAUGGACCCGCGUUUGAUUAGCUAGUUGGUGGGGUAACGGCCUACCAAGGCGACGAUCAAUAGCCGACCUGAGAGGGUGACCGGCCACAUUGGGACUGAGACACGGCCCAA